UACGUAGGGUGCGAGCGUUAAUCGGAAUUACUGGGCGUAAAGGGCGCGUAGGCGGCCGCCUAAGUCAGACGUGAAAUCCCUCGGCUCAACCGGGGAACUGCGUCUGAUACUGGGUGGCUUGAAUCCGGGAGAGGGAAGCGGAAUUCCGGGUGUAGCGGUGAAAUGCGUAGAUAUCCGGAGGAACACCUGUGGCGAAGGCGGCUUCCUGGACCGACACUGACGCUGAGGCGCGAAAGCUAGGGGAGCAAACGGG
rnacentral:rRNA from 1 species